GUCUACGGCCAUACCGCCCUGAACGCGCCCGAUCUCGUCUGAUCUCGGAAGCUAAGCAGGGUCGGGCCUGGUUAGUACUUGGAUGGGAGAAAAGCAAAAAACCAUGACA
rnacentral:rRNA from 1 species